UACGAUGUAGCUGAAAUUGGCAGCGCGCCAAACGCCAUUGGCUCCAUGUCUUGCCACUUGCCACCGGCAUCGCGCUACGGAAAGAUGUACAUGGAUCUGAGCGGCGCGCAAAUAACUAGCCUCGCUCAAAUGCCGCUGCUCCAUAGAUGGGGAUUUAGGUGAGAUGCUACCUCGAGGCAUGUAGCAUGCGGCAGGUUGUGUGAGCCACUUAAGUUCACUUUGGCGAAAGCAGAUAGCGGCUAAGUAGCGGCAAAUGCCACAAUGGUGGAGAAGAGCAGGUAGUAGUGAAGGCUGCGCAAGUCGUAGUCGAACCAAUAUCUGAUAAUAUUACCAUUCCUUAAGCGAGCCACCGCCCAUGCUAAGCAGGUUGUUUGCUGAUUAAUCGCAGGGCGAGGGGAGACGCGAUUUCGGUAUGUUCAAUGCACUGCUGGAUGCUUUUAGACAAUACUUGAAAGGCAAAGUGAUUGAAGGCAGCUGAGUGCUGAGUGCUGACGUUGAAUGUUGAAUGCGAUAUUUUCAAGUUGCUGCAACGCCGUGCAACAGCGUGCGCACCAUGCAACAAGUUCCAAUCGCUCCGUUCACGCCUUUAAGACGCGAGAUUAAUAGAUUUUGGCUGGAGAGGCAAUGGAAAUCUGCUGAAAAUAAGUUAAUAGCAAAUAUAUUCCAUUGAAAAUAAUUGUAUUCUUUUCGGCACAAAAAAGAUGGAUUUGAUUGAAGUGGCGAUAGAAUUCAGUGUAGGUUUAAAAAGGAUCUGAGGAUAUUUAUUGUUUAGAAGUGAAGUGUCAUGACACACAGAUUAGAAUCACUUUCGCAUAUUUUCAUAGACCCUUUAGGGAAAUUAGACGAAUUCAAACUAGGAGACUUCGUUAAAAGUAUUGAAUAGGGAAUCUUGUUGCUUUAGCUUUAGCGGUUAAGAAGAUAUGUACGUCGUACACGUUCCGGUCGUCCUUCGACGUCUACCACUGACGAUAACAUACAAAAGUGAAGAUAUCGUGCUCGAAAAUCAUCAUGUGAGUGUUAGAAAGAUAGCAAGUAAGCUAAACGUCGGCCGUGAAGCAGCUCUUUUGGUUUUGACCGAUAAUUUUGGCACGAGACGCGUCAAUGCUCGGCUUGUCCCAAAAGAGCUGAAUUUUGUGCAAAAAGACCAUCGUGUGCAAGGAUUUUAAGACCAAAGCCUCGUUCAAUACUAUCGAUCAACUACCGUAUUUACCGGGUUUGGCUCCAUGCUAUUAUCUUUUGUUUCCAAAACUCAAGUUAGUGGAACCCGUUUCGACUCGAUUGUAGCCGUAAAUGAAGGCGAUCUGAAGGCGAUCCCGGACAGCGCCUACAAGGCAUGUUUCGAUGAUCGGAAAAAGCUGAGGCAUAUGUAUAUCGCUUCAAAAGGAGCAUAUUUUGA